GCGGGAGUCAUUGGUUCAAAUCCAAUAGUAGGUA
rnacentral:tRNA from 1 species